rnacentral:rRNA from 1 species
CCUACGGGUGGCAGCAGUGAGGAAUAUUGGUCAAUGGACGCGAGCCUGAACCAGCCAAGUAGCGUGAAGGAUGACUGCCCUAUGGGUUGUAAACUUCUUUUAUAUGGGAAUAAAAUGUAGCAAGUAUACUGUUUUGCAUGUACCUUAUGAAUAAGGAUCGGCUAACUCCGUGCCAGCAGCCGCGGUAAUACGGAGGAUCCGAGCGUUAUCCGGAUUUAUUGGGUUUAAAGGGAGCGUAGGUGGGUUGUUAAGUCAGUUGUGAAAGUUUGCGGCUCAACCGUAAAAUUGCAGUUGAUACUGGCAGCCUUGAGUACAGUAGAGGUAGGCGGAAUUCGUGGUGUAGCGGUGAAAUGCUUAGAUAUCACGAAGAACUCCGAUUGCGAAGGCAGCCUGCUGGACUGUAACUGACGCUGAUGCUCGAAAGUGUGGGUAUCAAACAGGAUUAGAUACCCUGGUAGUC